rnacentral:rRNA from 1 species
UACGUAGGGUGCAAGCGUUAAUCGGAAUUACCGGGCGUAAAGCGUGCGCAGGCGGUUGUGUAAGACAGAUGUGAAAUCCCCGGGCUCAACCUGGGAACUGCAUUUGUGACUGCACAGCUGGAGUGCGGCAGAGGGGGAUGGAAUUCCGCGUGUAGCAGUGAAAUGCGUAGAUAUGCGGAGGAACACCGAUGGCGAAGGCAAUCCCCUGGGCCUGCACUGACGCUCAUGCACGAAAGCGUGGGGAGCAAACAGG